UGGCUCACGAAGUGUGCAGACGACUC
rnacentral:piRNA from 1 species